UGGGGAAUAUUGGACAAUGGGCGAAAGCCUGAUCCAGCCAUGCCGCGUGUGUGAAGAAGGUCUUCGGAUUGUAAAGCACUUUAAGUUGGGAGGAAGGGCAUUAACCUAAUACGUUAGUGUUUUGACGUUACCGACAGAAUAAGCACCGGCUAACUCUGUGCCAGCAGCCGCGGUAAUACAGAGGGUGCAAGCGUUAAUCGGAAUUACUGGGCGUAAAGCGCGCGUAGGUGGUUUGUUAAGUUGGAUGUGAAAGCCCCGGGCUCAACCUGGGAACUGCAUCCAAAACUGGCAAGCUAGAGUACGGUAGAGGGUGGUGGAAUUUCCUGUGUAGCGGUGAAAUGCGUAGAUAUAGGAAGGAACACCAGUGGCGAAGGCGACCACCUGGACUGAUACUGACACUAAGGUGCGAAAGCGUGGGGAGCAAACA
rnacentral:rRNA from 1 species